AUUGAACGCUGGCGGAAUGCUUUACACAUGCAAGUCGAACGGCAGCACGGACUUCGGUCUGGUGGCGAGUGGCGAACGGGUGAGUAAUGUAUCGGAACGUGCCCAGUCGUGGGGGAUAACGUAGUGAAAAUUACGCUAAUACCGCAUACGAUCUAUGGAUGAAAGCGGGGGAUCGCAAGACCUCGCGCGAUUGGAGCGGCCGAUAUCAGAUUAGGUAGUUGGCGGGGUAAAGGCCCACCAAGCCAACGAUCUGUAGCUGGUCUGAGAGGACGACCAGCCACACUGGAACUGAGACACGGUCCAGACUCCUACGGGAGGCAGCAGUGGGGAAUUUUGGACAAUGGGCGAGAGCCUGAUCCGGCCAUUCCGCGUGCAGGAUGAAGGCCCUCGGGUUGUAAACUGCUUUUGUACAGAACGAAAAGGUUUCUACUAAUACUAGGAGCUCAUGACGGUACUGUAAGAAUAAGCACCGGCUAACUACGUGCCAGCAGCCGCGGUAA
rnacentral:rRNA from 1 species